AACGAACGCUGGCGGCAGGCUUAACACAUGCAAGUCGAGCGCCCCGCAAGGGGAGCGGCAGACGGGUGAGUAACGCGUGGGAAUCUACCCAUCUCUACGGAAUAACGCAUGGAAACGUGUGCUAAUACCGUAUACGUCCUUCGGGAGAAAGAUUUAUCGGAGACGGAUGAGCCCGCGUUGGAUUAGCUAGUUGGUGGGGUAAAGGCCUACCAAGGCGACGAUCCAUAGCUGGUCUGAGAGGAUGAUCAGCCACACUGGGACUGAGACACGGCCCAGACUCCUACGGGAGGCAGCAGUGGGGAAUAUUGGACAAUGGGCGCAAGCCUGAUCCAGCCAUGCCGCGUGAGUGAUGAAGGCCCUAGGGUUGUAAAGCUCUUUCACCGGUGAAGAUAAUGACGGUAACCGGAGAAGAAGCCCCGGCUAACUUCGUGCCAGCCGCCGCGGUAA
rnacentral:rRNA from 2 species